CUUUUCCCUGUCUCUAAUAGAUCUGUGCUUUAUCUGUUAGCAUAGUUGGACUAGAUGACCUUUAAAGAUCCCUUUAGGGACCUAUAGUCCUUUCACAUGGAUAUCAACAGACAAAACACUCCAACCAGGAGUUUAGCAAAAAGGCAGAAAAUGAGGGAUUUGCUUGAAACAAUCUAUAGGGAAUUUAUUUGUCUCUAGUUGGAAAUACAAUUUUUUGUGGAGGAGGUGGAUGGCGGGUAUUGCAAUUUUGAAUCUUUCAGCAAGAAAUAAAUUUCUUUUCUCCAGAAAUGAUAGUACAACCACUCUCAUAGGUCAAUCAGCUUCUGAAUUUUAUACCUUCCAAAUCAUCUGACUUCCGUGGAAUGUCCUCAGACACAUACGAAGAUACAUCUUGAGUGUUAUUAGUCCAUCUACAUGGAAGCAAGUGUCUACUGAAAAUAAACCACAGAAAGAAGACUUGUAUUGUUUUAGAUUCAUUAAAAAUGUAAAGCACACCAAUGAGACCAGGAUUGUUUCUCUUUGGAGUUUCUUUUCUCUUAAGAUCACAGCAAUCUUCUAAUUUCAUUUGAAAAAAUGAUAUGCAUGUAAGUGCUGAAGGAGUGUGUUUGAAGUGAAGUGGAAGCUCCAGUCUAGCAAUCAUACUCUUUAUAUCUGAAAUCUACGUUUGGACAUGGUGUUUGAAAGUGCUGGGAUUUGGCUCCAGUAUAAACAGAUGGAAAGCCCAAUCUCUGACAUUUACUGUUUCAUGCUUUUGAACAUUCAAAGAAUUUGGUCAGAUGGCAAUUUUUUUGAUGGAUGAGGGGAGGAAAGUAGGAAGGGAGGAAGAGAGGAAGAGAAGACUUAUCUCUACAUUUGCUAAAGGAGCAAAGCCUUGUUUCAAUGCAAAGGAAAGGUAUGCCACAGCAAAAACGUGCAAACAUCAUGUUUGCUGUGUGAUUGCGCAAAGCAAACAGUGGUGCUUUGAUGUGAGAAUGUGCUGGGCAGCAAAUUCCCACUCCAUGCUUAGCCCAUCUUGCAACCUCAAAUAUUCUUUUGGUUUUCAUUCCUUCCUCAGACUUUCUAAUUUCUGUCAUGGGAUGCCUCUGCUUUCCUUGAAGUGAAACAGCCCCCUGUCACAUUGCCUGCAUUCAGGAAGAAAGCCUUGUGCUGUGCAAAAUGGUCAUAUGCAGCAAAGAGUCUGUGGGACAGGGAUCUGGCUUACCUGCUUUGUUCCUCUUAUUUUUUUAAAUAAUGAUUUUCAAUUGACAUUCAAGGAGAAUGAGUUGUGUUCCACUCUUAUCCUUUGGUGCUCACUGAUGUCAAAGAGAAAUGUGUUCAAUAAACCAUCCUAGUAAAUAAUUUUAUUUCAUCAUUUUCAUACCAUGCAGGGCAGACAGACAAUGUGGUGCAAUGAAGCAACGCCUCACUGCUCUGGUGCCCAUAGGCAGAUCCAGCUAGUGCACCCUGCUCCUUGUCUUUGGAAAGACCUGGGGAUCCAGGGAAACCCUUGGAAGAGUACAUGGGGCUUUCGUGGCCUGAUCUGCUGUUGCCAGGUGUGGUGUAAGCUGGUGAGACCCUGUCUUGGUGCCAUGUUCAGCUCAGACUCUCUGUUCCUCAGGGUUAUGGUAACCCAGCAUACACAAGCUCAGAGGGAAGGCAGAUGUGAAGGCACUGGCACGUCUUCCCUCCUAACAACAGAAAAUGCUGAAGAGUAUGUUUAACUGAAGGAAGAAUAAUCUUCAGGGCAGAUGUGCUCAAUAAAGUUAAAGAAAAGACCCUUUGAGAGAAAUAUUUCAUCAAGGUGUUUCCAACACGGACUAUACAUGUUAUCCUUGCUGUGCUGUUCCUGGAAAUAAUCUGUGCUCCUCUUGCUUUAUUCAUGCAGUGGAUGCAUUUGUUCAGGAAAAAACAGUAAAAGUGUUUACUGAAAUGUUUUCUAUUUCCUAAUGGACAGUUUUAUUUUAAACUUACAGUUUAUUUAUUUAUUUUGCGAAAUGCCAUCAGUUUGAAACACUAGGAAAGACCCCUUCCUCAGACACAAGAGGGAUCUGUAGAAACUUCUGUAUAAAAAAUUGUAGCAAAAUUUUCUAAAACAGUAUUUUCAUAGUUAAGGAAAGGAUAGCAAAAACUCUAGUACUUUUUUUGUGGCCUCUGUUCACUGAAACAGAUAACAGGCAAAUAAAAGGGAUACAUCUCAUUGAACUUCAACUGUCUGGAGUUAUGUCCCUGAUCCUAACUUAUUUAGUUUCUAGGAUCCUUUUGUGAUGCCUUGACUGAUCUCAGACUUUUAAAAACGUUCCUAGAUAAAUAGAAAUAUAUUAUUCUUAGGCAUCCAAACCCAAUGACUGUGUUUUCAAAAUGCAGCUGAGUGCUGAAUUACACACUAGCCUGGGUAUUUAUUCCCUGCAAAGAAUGUAUGUUGUAUGUUGGACUCUGAUGACCAAAUUUCCAAAUGGAAACUGGAAAAUGACUAUGUAAUCAAUCAGGUUUUGGAGGCUGAAGGAACUCAGGGAAAAGCUGAUGGAAAGAUUAACACUAAUAUAUAUCAUCUAUUUGUCCUUCCACCUAUAUUAAAUUUUCAUAAUUAUAUUGGUCAGAUAUUGGUAAACAGCAAGAAGGUAGAUGACCCUUCUGAAAAAGAACACAUGAAACUUAAGAGAAACACAAUCUUAGCAAUUCGUUUUGAUGUUAAGAUGUUUGUCUGUCCGUUAUUUUAUUUCACUAGAACUAACAUAAGGGGAGUUUCUCCAAAUCAUACUGCUAAGUUUAGUGAACUUUAAAGCAGGGUUACUUUAUGCAAAAAUUAAUUCUACUUGUUUGUUCUAUCUGGCUGUUUUACAAGUGCUUUGCCCUACGGACUCACUUUGUUUGUACUAGUUUCCGAGAUUUAUUUAGAGACUGAUUUUUUGUGUUCCUGACUCACACAAAAUUGAAGAAACAACAAACUAGUUUUAACAGAGUUUGUAAGAAUUUUGCUAAUGUGAAGAAUAAAGACUGUUCUGUUAACCUGAUUGCGAAACUGAUUGGAGGACUUCUCCAUUCUGUUUUAGUUGGCCCGAGAAAAUAGCAAGCUAUGCACAACAGAUGAUAUAAAGUUUGAGAUUAAACUCUAUUUGCCUGAUUGGAAAAUACAUUAUCUUCUCUUUACAUCCGUGUAGGGUAAAAAAAUGUAUCUUUGCAUUGCAUUUGUUCUCCUCGCUGUUACUAUUAACA
ensembl:lncRNA